rnacentral:misc_RNA from 1 species
UCCUUCCCUCAGUUUCCGUCCUCCCUCCCACCAUCUCUCUCUGUCUCUCUCUCUUUCUGAAAGCUCGUCAAAGAAGAAUCAAGAACCGAAAUCUUCAGCUUCUAACUCAAAAGAUCGAAAGUAAAUCUGAAGAGCGGGUAGUUCUUGCUGAUUUGGGUAAUAAAUAUCUCACAUGCAAUGUGGGUUGAUAUUUUUUCUGUUGUGAUAUAGUUGAAAGAGUAAAUGGAGGAAGUAAUAAACAGAGGGGAUUUGCAUGUAAAAGUUGUUAGGCAAUCAUCAUUAAGGCCAGGAGGCAACAUGAAGUCCACAUUGUCAGGGAGAUCAACUCCUAAUAACUCUCCAACGUUUCGGAGAUUGCAUUCCAGCCGAACUCCACGAAGAGAGGGUAGAAGUGUUGGAGGCAGUGUGCAGUGGUUUCGAAGCAAUCGAUUAGUGUACUGGUUACUUCUGAUUACUCUGUGGGCUUACCUUGGGUUUUAUGUACAAUCAAGGUGGGCUCAUGGUGAUAACAAGGAGGAAUUUCUGGGGUUUGGAGGUAAAACUAGGAGUGGAAUUCCAGACACUGAACAGAAUACGCGACAAGAUUUGCUUGCCAAUGAUAGUUCUAUGGCCGUAAAUAAUGGGACCAACAAGAUUCAGAUAGAAGAGCAUAGAAGGAUAGGUGUUGUUUUGGCCAAGAGUGGGAACAAAGUUUCUUCUAAGCAUAAUAAAGUUUCUUCUUCAAGGAAGAGGAGUAAGAGGGCAGGGCGCAGGUUGCGCAGUAAAGCACGUCGCAAACAAAAGACAACAAUAGAGGCUGGAGGCAAUGAUGUAGAGGUACAGGAACCAGACAUCCCCCAGAAGAAUACUUCUUAUGGUUUUCUUGUUGGCCCAUUUGGGUCAUCAGAGGAUAGAGUUCUGGAAUGGAGUCCUGAGAAGCGAACAGGAACCUGUGACAGGAAAGGGAAUUUUGCACGUCUUGUAUGGUCUAGGAAAUUUGUAUUGAUAUUCCAUGAGCUCUCAAUGACUGGGGCUCCACUUUCAAUGAUGGAGUUGGCAACAGAGUUUCUGAGCUGUGGAGCCACAGUUUCUGCUGUAGUUCUUAGCAAAAAGGGUGGUUUGAUGCCAGAGCUUGCCAGGAGAGGGAUCAAAGUGCUUGAGGAUAGAGCUGACCUUAGCUUCAAAACUGCCAUGAAGGCAGAUCUUGUGAUUGCAGGAUCUGCAGUCUGUGCAUCAUGGAUAGAUCAAUAUAUUGCUCAUUUCCCAGCUGGCGGAAGUCAAAUUGCUUGGUGGAUUAUGGAAAAUCGACGAGAGUACUUUGAUCGGUCAAAAAUUGUCCUUGACCGAGUGAAGAUGCUGGUUUUUCUUUCUGAAUCUCAGACCAAACAAUGGCUAUCUUGGUGCGAGGAAGAAAAGGUUAAGUUGAGAUCUCCACCUGCAAUUGUUCAACUUUCUAUUAAUGAUGAACUAGCUUUUGUAGCUGGUAUUCCAUGUUCACUAAAUACUCCAUCUUCUAGCCCUGAGAAGAUGCUGGAGAAGGGGAGGUUGCUACGAGAUUCUGUUAGAAAAGAGAUGGGAUUGACAGAUAAUGAUGUGCUUGUAAUGUCUCUCAGCAGUAUAAACGCUGGGAAGGGUCAACUCUUACUACUUGAAUCAGCGCAGCUGUUGAUUGAGAAAGAACCAUUGCAAAAAAUAAGAACUGCAGUGGUUAUGGAUGGUGACCGAUCCACCUUAGCUGCGAAACAUCACAUAAGAGCCUUGUUACAGGAGUCAAGAGAUACUGAUAAAUUUUCAGAUAGCCAGUCCAGCAAGUCCUCUAUCUCAUCAAAUGAACCUAAUAAGAAAGGGUCACAGCUAUCCCGUCUCUUGAACAGAAGGCGGAAAAGAAGGAAAGUUUUGUCUAAUCUUGAAGGAGCACAAGAACAGCAUCUUAAAGUUCUUAUUGGUUCUGUUGGUUCUAAGAGUAAUAAGGUGCUUUAUGUUAAAGAAAUGUUGAGAUAUGUGUCUGAGCAUUCAAACUUGUCGAAGUCAGUGAUUUGGACUCCAGCAACUACACGUGUUGCUUCACUUUACUCUGCAGCAGAUAUUUAUGUUAUAAAUUCUCAGGGCUUCGGAGAAACCUUUGGGAGAGUGACAAUUGAAGCAAUGGCAUUUGGUCUUCCGGUAUUCACUUCCUAACACACAUUAGUGCUUAUUACUGUCGUCUUACUAAUGGCUGACGGUGUCUUGUUGUUGAGAACCAUUAACACAUCAAUAAUGUCCUUAAAUAGAUUUGAGUAAUGGUGACGCUGAGACCAUUUAAGUUACACUGCAUGUGUAUUUUCUUCAUGGAUUAAAAAGUGCAAGAAGAGAAGUCUUAAUAAUUUGAUUACUUAUCCAUUUAUGUUGCAGGUGCUUGGAACAGAUGCUGGAGGCACAAAAGAAAUCGUUGAGCACAAUGUAACAGGACUUCUUCACCCAGUUGGGCGUCCAGGAACUCAUAUCCUUGCACAAAAUCUCCAAUAUUUGCUAAAAAAUCCAUCUUUAAGACAGCAAAUGGGGAUGAAGGGAAGGAAAAAGGUAGAGAGAAUGUAUUUGAAGCGGCACUUGUACAAGAAAUUUGUAGAGGUUCUCUACAAGUGCAUGAGAGUCAAAUAACAACUACAUGGACUCAUUCUUUAAUUGGUUUCAAUUUGAAGGAAGCUGUGAGUAUGAAUACAAAAUUGUAUUCUCAAGCAACGCAUUGUUUCUCUAUUGAUUAGAAGCUGUAGCCAUUUUACUUUGAAUUCGGAGCACUGAAGUUUAUUUGGUGUACAUAUUAUUCUUGCUUGUAUUCCAUCAAAAUGAACCGCAUGAAAUAGAUGUGUGGUGUUUUCGAGUGCUAAUUUUUUGGAAUUUUAAUUGCCUACAGAACCCAUUAUCCUAG